GACGAACGCUGGCGGCGUGCUUAACACAUGCAAGUCGAACGGAAAGGCCCUGCUUUUGUGGGGUGCUCGAGUGGCGAACGGGUGAGUAACACGUGAGUAACCUGCCCUUGACUUUGGGAUAACUUCAGGAAACUGGGGCUAAUACCGGAUAGGAGCUCCUGCUGCAUGGUGGGGGUUGGAAAGUUUCGGCGGUUGGGGAUGGACUCGCGGCUUAUCAGCUUGUUGGUGGGGUAGUGGCUUACCAAGGCUUUGACGGGUAGCCGGCCUGAGAGGGUGACCGGCCAAAUUGGGACUGGGGUACGGCCCAGACUCCUACGGGAGGCAGCAGUGGGGAAUAUUGCACAAUGGGCGGAAGCCUGAUGCAGCAACGCCGCGUGCGGGAUGACGGCCUUCGGGUUGUAAACCGCUUUCGCCUGUGACGAAGCGUGAGUGACGGUAAUGGGUAAAGAAGCACCGGCUAACUACGUG
rnacentral:rRNA from 1 species